rnacentral:rRNA from 1 species
UACGUAGGGUGCGAGCGUUAAUCGGAAUUACUGGGCGUAAAGCGUGCGUAGGUGGUUCGUUGUGUCUGUGGUGAAAGCCCCGGGCUUAACCUGGGAAUGGCCAUGGAAACUGGCGAGCUGGAGUCUGGCAGAGGGGGUGGAAUUCCGCGUGUAGCAGUGAAAUGCGUAGAGAUGCGGAGGAACACCGAUGGCGAAGGCAGCCCCCUGGGCUAAGACUGACGCUGAGGCACGGAAAGCGACUGGG